UAAUUUCAGAAGGAGAAUGGGUCAAGCUUGAAAAAACAACAUACAUGGACCCUACUGGUAAAACUAGAACUUGGGAAUCAGUGAAACGUACGACCAGGAAAGAACAGAGUGCUGAUGGUGUAGCGGUCAUCCCUGUGCUACAGAGAACACUUCAUUACGAGUAUAUCGUUUUGGUGAAACAGUUCCGACCACCCAUGGGCGGCUACUGCAUAGAGUUCCCUGCAGGUCUCAUAGAUGAUGGUGAAACCCCAGAAGCAGCUGCUCUUCGGGAGCUUGAGGAAGAAACUGGCUACAAAGGGGAUGUUGCCGAAUGUUCUCCAGCUGUCUGUAUGGACCCAGGCUUGACGAAGUGUACCACACACAUUGUGACAGUAACCAUUAACGGAGAUGAUGCCGAAAACCUAAGGCCCAAGCCAAAGCCAGGGGAUGCAGAAUUUGUGGAAGUCAUUUCUUUACCAAGAAUGAUCUACUGCAGAGACUUGAUGCUCUGGUAGCUGAAGAACAUGUUACAGUGGAUGCUAGAGGCUAUUCCUAUGCUUUAGCGCUAAAACAUGCAAAUGCAAAGCUAUUUGAAGUGCCCUUCCUGAAAUUUUAAGGCCAAAGAUGACGCUGGCCACUUUUGUAAAUGAGACCACCAGGCCUUCUUCACUAAGACUUUGUCUUCAACUUAGCUUAAUGUAGAUUUGAAAUUAGCUUUUUCAUAAAAUAAAAGCAGCACAGAAUGCAAAAAAAAAAAAAAAAUGAGGUUCAACUCAGAAAAGAGAUUGCAAAUGCCAUGAAAGAAUGAUUUAAUGUGUAAACAUGAGCCAGACCAUGUGGAAUUUGAGAGGGUACCUAUGAUAUGUCUAAUUUGUAUAUAGUUUAUUCACUAAGAUUCUCUUUGUGUUUUCUUGUAAACAGCUACCAGGACCCAAGGCAGGGAUGAGGGCAUUCCAAGGAAAGUAGAAAGGCAUGAAUCCAAGUGGCUCUGUCUUUGGAGGAGAAACUGUAUUCUUUUAGAUGUUGGUAAUAGAACAUUUCCCAGGAAAUGGCAUUAGAGACUGUGUUGAAGGGUCCUCUGGGGGUGGGUUUUGGCUUAUGUAUAUGUAAUAACUGUAACACAGGUAACUCUAUCCAUGGGUAAAAAGGCAAAACUAAUGCUAACUAGUAAUAUUUUCUGUGAGCUGUUAUUUAGCUAACCCCAAUACAUCUUUUCAUGCAAGAGUUUGAAUCUCUCUUGACCAAAAUAUAUGUUCACUUUUCAACGUUGAAUUAAUGGAUACAAAUUACUUUAAUGAUGUCUUACAUUAUAGGUUUUUUUAAAAGCCUUAAACAUGAAAUUACCUCAAAUAGAAGUUAGCCAUAUCUACUUAAUCUCUACAUUUUAACCAAAUGAUCAAAUGUACGUAUCCCACUUGCUCCACAUAAUACUAUUAAUAGUUUGAGUGAAAGCUAAUCAAAGUAAUCAGAAAAUACCUUGUGUUUUUUUGUUGAAAUUGAAGGAAUGAAAAUAAGUUUACUUACAUUAAAGCUGACUUUUCAUAGACAUACUUUCUAUGCUAGGUGGUAAAAAACCUACUCAAGAUUGGGGCAGGGUGCAUUUACCUGUCCCAAUUUUGUAACUGUGCUAUAAACACAUUGGCAAAACAGUCCAAAACUAAAUCAGAUAGAAACAUGAAUCUGUGUUCUCAGAGAUAUUGUUAAUGAGCCACAGGUGAGCAGGGGUCGUGCCUCCAAUUGCUUUGAAACCUUUGUUACUCAUGUAGUGGUUACCCACUAAUAAAUAUUUGUUGAGCGACUCA